AACGAACGCUGGCGGCAGGCUUAACACAUGCAAGUCGAACGCGUGUAGCAAUACACGAGUGGCGCACGGGUGAGUAACGCGUGGAUAUCUGCCUUUUGGUUCGGAAUAACCCCGGGAAACUGGGGCUAAUACCGGAUGGUUCCUUCGGGAUAAAGAUUUAUCGCCAAAAGAUGAGUCCGCGUACGAUUAGCUAGUUGGUGAGGUAAUGGCUCACCAAGGCGACGAUCGUUAGCUGGUCUGAGAGGACGAUCAGCCACACUGGGACUGAGACACGGCCCAGACUCCUACGGGAGGCAGCAGUGGGGAAUAUUGGACAAUGGGGGCAACCCUGAUCCAGCCAUGCCGCGUGAGUGAUGAAGGCCUUCGGGUUGUAAAGCUCUUUUGGCGGGGACGAUGAUGACGGUACCCGCAGAAUAAGCCCCGGCUAACUUCGUG
rnacentral:rRNA from 1 species